UACGUAGGGGGCAAGCGUUAUCCGGAUUCACUGGGUGUAAAGGGAGCGUAGACGGCCAUGCAAGCCUGGAGUGAAAGCCCGGGGCCCAACCCCGGGACUGCUCUGGGAACUGUGCGGCUGGAGUGCGGGAGGGGCAGGCGGAAUUCCUGGUGUACCGGUGAAAUGCGUAGAUAUCAGGAGGAACACCGGCGGCGAAGGCGGCCUGCUGGACCGCGACUGACGUUGAGGCUCGAAAGCGUGGGGAGCAAACAGG
rnacentral:rRNA from 1 species